rnacentral:lncRNA from 10 species
AAGCAAGACAGCUUGAAGGAGAGGCUAGGGUGGGAAGGGAAGGGUGGAGAGGAGGGGGAGGAAGGAAGUCAAGCAUCUGUCCUGGAAGAACAACGCAUGCUUUUUAAGGGAAGAGAACAGUCUUUCCCCAAGAGGCGGUUCCAGAUGACUCGUGAUGUUCUAUCCUUAAAAAGGCCGUCACAUGCCUUCCCCAUCGCCAAAGAGACAGGAGUGGAGCAGGGAGACUGAGGACGGGAACUUCUUCCACCCACCUGACCCCGGAGCUCCACUUGCUCAGCCUGACAGACACAGCUGAACUUUCACUAGUCGAGGAAAGAACAUUCUCGCUAGGCUUAAGAGGCCAAGCUUAGGAGUAUUGCUUGAGGCCAGGAAUUUGAGACCAGUCUGGUCAACACAGUGAGACCCUGUCUCUACAAAAUUAAAAAAAAAAUUAGCCAAGUGUGGUGGUGCACCUGUGGUCCCAGCCAUUUAAGAGGCUGAGGCAGGAGGAUGGCUUGAGCCUAGGAGUUGGAGGCUGCAGUGAGCUGCACUCCACCCUGGACAACAGAGCGAGACUCUAUCUCAGAAAAAAAAAAAGACGAAAAAAGAAAAUUCUCAAAGAUACUGAAGACAUUUACCCUCAUCCCUAUCCUCCCUGUGCAAGGCCAGAAAUCUUUCAAGAAAAAGUCUCAUUUGAAAAUCUUUCACAUCUUGUGAGGAUGAAUAAAAGACAGAAUGUCAACUUUGCCGCCUUAAAAUUUCAAAAAGAGGAAACAUUCCAAAAUCGCAUACAGCAUCCAUGAUACAUGAUCCUUGAUCCAGACAUAAAAGAGAAUAUAAAAAUGAAGAAAAGAGACGCUGUUAGAGAAAAAUGGGACUUCCCUCCAAACAUCUUGCUCCUCACCCACAUGGGUGGAAGUGAUCAACCCUCAGUCACUCAAAUGGGCACAGGAAGGGCCUUGGAUUAUCCCUUCAAGCUGGCGGCCCAAGAAAACUGUUUCUGCACCCUAUGUCAGCCCUUAAAACUUUACUAUAGCUCUAAUUCAAAAUUGUAAUAAUAAAAUUUGUAUUUAAAAUUAUGCACAGGCUUUGGCCUCCUCUUCAGCUGAACUUUAACACUUGGCCAUUUGGCAUUCAGCCAUAAUGUACCUGUAACUGUAAUGUACCCCUAAAUAUAAAUUGAAAAUCUUUUCUUCCCCCAACCCCUGGUCUCUUCUCCAGAGAUUACCACUGGUGCUUAAGGGCCUUGUAAUAUUUCUAUAAAAUAUUUGUAUUUGUUCUUGCAACAGUGGGAUCAUCCCAUAUACUCUCCAGUAAUUUGUUAUGUACCAUUACAUUAAAGAUAAUUUAAUUCAAACAUCUUUCCAUGAGACUAUGUGUAGCUCUAUCUUAUGUUUUGUAAUGACUUGCAUAUAUUCUGUUGUAUGGAUGUGGCAUUAUUUAAUGACCCAAUCCUUAAUUAAAGAACAUUUAGUCUAUUAUCAUUUUUUUUGAGAGGGAGUCUCGCUUUGUUGCCCAGGCUGGAGUGCAAUGGCACAGUCUCGGCUCACUGCAACAUCUGCCUCCCGGGUUCAAGCUAUUCUCCUGUCUCAGCCUCUUGAGUAACUGGGAUUAC